rnacentral:rRNA from 1 species
UACGUAGGGGGCAAGCGUUGUCCGGAAUCAUUGGGCGUAAAGCGCGCGUAGGCGGCCCGGUAAGUCCGCUGUAAAAGUCCAGGGCUCAACCCUGGAAAGCCGGUGGAUACUGUCGGGCUAGAGUCCGGAAGAGGCGAGUGGAAUUCCUGGUGUAGCGGUGGAAUGCGCAGAGUAUCAGGAGGAACACCGAUGGCGAAGGC